rnacentral:rRNA from 1 species
CCUACGGGAGGCAGCAGUGAGGAAUCUUCGUCAAUGGACGCGAGCCUGAACCAGCAACGUCGCGUGAAGGAUGAAUGCCCUCUGCGUUGUAAACUUCUUUUAUAUGGGAAUAAAAUGUUCCACGUGUGGGUUUUUGUAUGUACCAUAUGAAUAAGGAUCGGCUAACUCCGUGCCAGCAGCCGCGGUAAUACGGAGGAUCCGAGCGUUAUCCGGAUUUAUUGGGUUUAAAGGGAGCGUAGGUGGAUUGUUAAGUCAGUUGUGAAAGUUUGCGGCUCAACCGUAAAAGUGCAGUUGAAACUGGCAGUCUUGAGUACAGUAGAGGUGAGCGGAAUUCGAGGUGUAGCGGUGAAAUGCUUAGAUAUCACGAAGAACUCCGAUUGCGAAGGCAGCUCACUGGACUGCAACUGACACUGAGGCUCGAAAGUGUGGGUAGCAAACAGGAUUAGAUACCCUGGUAGUC